GUGCUCGCUUCAGCAGCACAUACACUAAACUUGGAAUGAUACAGAGAUUAACCUGGUCCCUAUGCAAGAUGCCACGCAAAUUCGUGAAGCAUUCCAUAUUGUU